AUUCAAGAUAAUUACGGGGCGGAGCUAGUGGAGCUAGGUGUUGGUUCGGCCUCUUAUUUGUCUCUGCUCAUUUGCACACUUCCUUCAGUCCGGAUCCGCAGUCGGCCUUCUAGGGUCCAAGGAAUAGGGCGAUGUGCCAUUUCUCGGCACGCCCCGCAAAGGUCUCUCCAUGGCGCCUCCUGCUCAUCACGAGCUCCAUAGCUCCAUAAAAGCUCAGUUAAGGAAGCAGGAAGGAUGGUGAUGAGCUAAGGGACAGCGUCCCUAUUUCUGAGUGGGCGAGGAAUGUGAGAAAAGGGGUGUUUAUCUUCAGCUCCUUGAAAGGGUGCCCAAACUUAUCCACGCGGGAUGACCACUAGAAGGGCCCCUCAUGACGCACCACCCCCCUCAGUCCCCGUCUGGCUCAGGCCGGUGUGGCUGGCGGACAAAGCUGCCCUGAGAGCAAAGGGGAGCGCAAGGGGGAAAACCGCUCAGCCGGGACACUCCGUGCUCUCACCUAGAAACCGAUCAGGCCUGGGUUGACCAAGGAGCCCCAGAGGGGUUAAUGUGUAACCUUGGAGUCAGCAGGGGAAACAGAGCAAACACCCAAACCUCUUGGCGCCUCAAGGCUUCUGAUACUUCCCACUCACAGCACCUCCGCCCCCUCCGCACCCC